GUCGACCGGCGCACGGGUGAGUAACGCGUAUCCAACCUUCCCAUUACUGUGGGAUAACCUGCCGAAAGGCAGACUAAUACCGCAUAGUCUUCGAUGACGGCAUCAGAUUUGAAGUAAAGAUUUAUCGGUAAUGGAUGGGGAUGCGUCUGAUUAGCUUGUUGGCGGGGUAACGGCCCACCAAGGCGACGAUCAGUAGGGGUUCUGAGAGGAAGGUCCCCCACAUUGGAACUGAGACACGGUCCAAACUCCUACGGGAGGCAGCAGAC
rnacentral:rRNA from 1 species